rnacentral:tRNA from 1 species
UAACUAAUAACUCAGGGGGAGAGUGAAAGACUGAAAAUCUUUAAGGCAGUGGUUCAAAUCCAUUUUAGUUAG